rnacentral:snRNA from 1 species
CGGCACACUGCUUCCAACUUGUA